GACGAACGCUGGCGGCGUGCCUAAUACAUGCAAGUACGACGCAGUUUCGAACGGGUGAGUAACGCGUAGGUAACUACCUAUUAGAGGGGGAUAACUAAUGGAAACGAUAGCUAAUACCGCCUAACAGUAGAUGGACCUGCGUUGUAUUAGCUAGUAGGUAGGGUAAUGGCCUACGUAGGCAACGAUACAUAGCCGACCGUAGAGGGUGAUAGUCCACACUGGGACUGGGACACGGCCCAGACUCAUACGGGAGGCAUGAUGAGGGAAUCGUCGGCAAUGGGGGGAACCCUGACCGAGCAACGCCGCGUGGGUGAUGAAGGUCUUCGGAUCGUAAAACUAUGUUAUUAGGGAAGCGGUACCUAAUCAGAAGGCCACGGCUAACUACGUGCCAGCAGCCGCGGUAAUAC
rnacentral:rRNA from 1 species